UAGCCUAAUGGUUAAGGCUAUGGAUCGCCAAUCCGGAGAUGGCGGGUUCGAUUCCCGU
rnacentral:tRNA from 1 species